rnacentral:rRNA from 1 species
CCUACGGGUGGCAGCAGUGGGGAAUAUUGCGCAAUGGGCGAAAGCCUGACGCAGCGACGCCGCGUGAGGGAUGAAGGUCUUCGGAUCGGAAACCUCUGUCAGCAGGGAAGAACGGUCACUGUGCUAAUCAGCAGUGAAUUGACGGUACCUGCAAAGGAAGCACCGGCUAACUCCGUGCCAGCAGCCGCGGUAAUACGGAGGGUGCGAGCGUUAAUCGGAAUUACUGGGCGUAAAGCGCUCGUAGGCGGUAUGUCAAGUCAAGGGUGAAAUCCCCGCGCUCAACGUGGGAACUGCCUUUGAUACUGGCAAUCUAGAGUGUGUGAGAGGAUAGUGGAAUGCCAGGUGUAGGAGUGAAAUCCGUAGAUAUCUGGCGGAACAUCAGUGGCGAAGGCGACUAUCUGGCACAUAACUGACGCUGAGGAGCGAAAGCGUGGGUAGCAAACAGGAUUAGAUACCCCUGUAGUC